rnacentral:rRNA from 1 species
AGUGAACGCUGGCGGUAGGCCUAACACAUGCAAGUCGAACGGCAGCACAGUAAGAGCUUGCUCUUACGGGUGGCGAGUGGCGGACGGGUGAGGAAUACAUCGGAAUCUACUUUUUCGUGGGGGAUAACGUAGGGAAACUUACGCUAAUACCGCAUACGACCUACGGGUGAAAGCAGGGGAUCUUCGGACCUUGCGGGAUUGAAUGAGCCGAUGUCGGAUUAGCUAGUUGGCGGGGUAAAGGCCCACCAAGGCGACGAUCCGUAGCUGGUCUGAGAGGAUGAUCAGCCACACUGGAACUGAGACACGGUCCAGACUCCUACGGGAGGCAGCAGUGGGGAAUAGUAGACAAUGGGCGCAAGCCUGAUCCAGCGAUACCGCGUGGGUGAAGAAGGCCUUCGGGUUGUAAAGCCCUUUUGUUGGGAAAGAAAAGCAGCAGGUUAAUACCCCGCUGUUCUGACGGUACCCAAAGAAUAAGCACCGGCUAACUUCGUG